rnacentral:tRNA from 1 species
GCCGGGGUGGCGAAACUGGUGAUACGCGCCCGACUUAAAAUCGGGUGUCCCCUCAGCGGGGCGUACGGGUUCGAAUCCCGUCCCCGGCA